GUGCCAGCAGCCGCGGUAAUACGAAGGGGGCUAGCGUUGUUCGGAAUUACUGGGCGUAAAGCGCACGUAGGCGGAUAUUUAAGUCAGGGGUGAAAUCCCAGAGCUCAACUCUGGAACUGCCUUUGAUACUGGGUAUCUUGAGUAUGGAAGAGGUAAGUGGAAUUCCGAGUGUAGAGGUGAAAUUCGUAGAUAUUCGGAGGAACACCAGUGGCGAAGGCGGCUUACUGGUCCAUUACUGACGCUGAGGUGCGAAAGCGUGGGGAGCAAACAGGAUUAGAUACCCUUGUAGUCC
rnacentral:rRNA from 1 species